CUUACUUAUUAUCAUUUAAUAACGACGAAUUUAAGUGUAUGGCGAAUGUAAGUGUACGAAUUCGAUUUCGUAAGUUACAGUCACUUACAGAUCUGUAAAUAGUUAGUUUAGAGGUCUACAAAUAAUACAGAACGUUUAGCAACGAGAACGCGUAUAAAAACACAAAUUUCCAAUCGAAUCAUAUUUGAGCCGAUAGUAUUUUAGUUAAUAUUCUUAUUAUGGAUAAAAGAUACAAACACGGUCUU